rnacentral:lncRNA from 1 species
UUCCUUAACCUGAACCAGGCAGUAAUGUCUUGUGUGCUUUUUUUUUUUUCUCCACAGCUGGUUUGAUCCAUGUAAUUCAUGCAGUGACCUUCAGUAUUAAGAGAAGAUGGGGGAAAAAAAGGCCCUGCAAACAGAUACAGCCAUUAUUUCCACGCUAUGCCAAGGUUGCUGUAAGAACAAUCCACUUCAGAAAGGAAAAUGGGGCGUAUGGUUUGUCACAAGUCGACCGUCUGGAUGAAUCGCAGAUAGAGAGAGAGAGAGGGGAAAAAAGAUCUCUCCGGCUCCCUAUCGAGCGAGGCCAAAACAGCGUGCAUGGAGAGUCCGGCGCGAAAUGGCAGUUGUUCUUCAGGGAUCAAUGCGUUGACCAGGAGGGCCUCCCUCCCCCUGGAGACUGUCAUUUCUUCGAGGAAUUCACAGAAGUGGAAGAUGAAAGCUUCGUGUCAUCGGCUCACCCAAAAACACCCGGCCAUAAGAGUCUCAGCCAAUGCCACAUCAAGGCCAAGGCCAGAAAGAGAGACGAGACCGCCAUCUUAGCCGGCUCUGCUUCGUAACAGCUGCCAUUUAUACCAAUCAGGUGUGACAGGCCCACAGGUUGACUUUUUUUCUUGUUAAUUGUUGACAUUUUGUUUUGGUUUCUGUCCUUGCCCUCAGAUUUAGGAAGCAUUAAUCAAGAAAUCAGUUUGUUUGAUUGUUUCAUAAAGUGAUAAAUCACCCAAAAAUAAUAAUACAUCAAACUCGCCCUUCACUUGUUCCAAACCUGUUUAACUUUCUUCUGUUGAACACAAAAGCAGAUAUUUUGAUGAAAGCUGAAAACCUGUAACCAUUGAGAGCCGUAGUGUUU